CUCGUAGGUGGCCAACUAAGUCAGACGUGAAAUCCCCAGGCUUAACCUGGGAACUGCGUCUGAUACUGGAUGGCUUGAAUUCGGGAGAGGGAUGCAGAAUUCCAGGUGUAGCGGUGAAAUGCGUAGAUAUCUGGAGGAAUACCGGUGGCGAAGGCGGCAUCCUGGACCGAGAUUGACACUGAUGAGCGAAAGCCAGGGGAGCAAA
rnacentral:rRNA from 1 species